rnacentral:lncRNA from 1 species
CUUAUUUAAAAUAAAAAAUAAUAAAUCUAAUAUUUCAAUAGUUUGUAUCUGGUCUUAAACUGUAAAGCAAGUAGAAUUCAUUUUACAUGUACUUUAAAAUCCAUCCAAACAAGUGUUUCUUUAAGUUCAUAGCAGUAGUGUAGCCUUGAAUAUGUAAAAAUAAAAACAAGGCAAAGUCUCUAGAGGAAGCAGUAAUUUUUAUUUGACUGUUAGAGUGUGCAAAACUCUAACAGUUUGUUUUUUUUGUUUGUUUUUUACAGAUGCUUUCAGGCGCACAAACUCUUUUUGAGGUUUGAAACGGAAGCCACAGGCUUCAGGCUUUCUGCAGGUUGGAAACAUUGCUGCAAGUAUAAUUUAAUUACCGUGGAGCAGAGCAAGGCGAUAAGGUGAUAGCCCUCCAGGGGACAGGUAGAGAGGAGCCUCCUUUUAGUCAUAGUUUUCCAUGCAAAGGAUUUACAGCCUGUGCCACAGUAUUAGCAACAUCCGGAUCUUCUCUGGACAGUGACAAUGAUGAUCAUCAUGCAGCACUGGCAUUCACAACAUUAUGCUUAAACUCUUGAGUUUUUCCACAUGGUGCUUGGGUGAAUGCUAUAAAUAGCCAGUACGUGCUCUAGCUUUGGUUAUUUUCUCAUCAUACAGGAGAGCAGGAUGGAAAAGUGCGGCACACAGCAAUGCAGAGACUGGCACAGAGUCUUACAGCUGGGGAUCUGCCAGGAUGGAAAUUUAUUGUAAUAGAAAUAAGCUGUAAGAUCCCUGUGCUGCCAACACAGUAGUGAGCUGGCACAGUCCAAAAAGUACGUGACUGAAGGCUUCAGAAGAUGGAAGUGCCUUUCUUAGUCCUUCUUUUUGCAGAAGCCAACAGGAAGGGAAGAAUGGCCAAUGCUCACACUCCGAGCCAUUAACGUGUAAGGUUAGAGGAAGGUAUUUUCACAUUCAAAGUGUGAAUCUGGCUAAUUCAGAGCCUUGGGGUGCCUCUGCUUUGCCACCCAGCACAGUGCCGUAGGUUAGGUGAAGUG